UACGAAGGGGGCGAGCGUUGUUCGGAAUUACUGGGCGUAAAGGGCGCGCAGGCGGCCCUUGAAGUCAGGCGUGAAAGCCCCGGGCUCAACCUGGGAGGUGCGCUUGAUACUCGAGGGCUUGAGUGCGGGAGAGGAGAGUGGAAUUCCCAGUGUAGAGGUGAAAUUCGUAGAUAUUGGGAAGAACACCGGUGGCGAAGGCGGCUCUCUGGGACGGUACUGACGCUGAGACGCGAAAGCGUGGGGAGCGAACAGG
rnacentral:rRNA from 1 species